rnacentral:lncRNA from 1 species
CAGGAAAUGAUUAAUUAAGGAAUUCUUUUCAUUGCCAUUAAUAGUUUUGCAGACAACCCGACGAGAUAAUCAUCACACGCUGGCAAUCACUUGCCAUCAAUUAUCCCCACGCUGCUGCUGUCAGUGGAUCACAGCCCCUACCUGGUGGGAGUCACUGCUGGUGCCACCGAGGCAUUUUCCAGAAAUGCAGGGCUGGGGAGGAUGGGAAACAGCUUCCAGACAGGCUCUGAGAUUGAUAUGCACGCCAAAGGGAAAUGCAUUAAACUAUUUAACUGCCUGGAAAUCCAGCAUAAUGAACAUCCAAAGAGGCUGAUUCCUGCCGUGUUUGAAGCACAAUUGCUGAUAUUCAGGAUCGUCUUCCAGCCCCUCCCGAUAGCCGGGAGCUGUUUCAGGCAGCAGCAGGAUCCCACCCAUUCCUGGGAGCUCCGCAGGAUACCCCAGUGAUAAAACCCUGGUUUUUGGGAUUUACGGGCACAUAACCCCCCCAGAGCAGCACCUGAGCUGGAGACUGUGGGAAAACAAAACCAAAGAGGUGUAAAAUGGAGCCACUUUCUUUCCCAGCCUGCAUUCCUGGGAUGAGGCAAAAGAAGGAGCUACUCCAUCCCUCUGGAUGAGCUGCUCCUCCUGCCAGUACAUAUCGGCUGUUAAAUGCUUACCCAGCACCGGGACGGGGUUAUUAGGAGCAGUGAAUUCCUUUGAUAAGUUCCCAGGUCAUAAAGAUGUUUGACUCCUCAUUUGCACGUUCCUCUCGGAAUCGAUCAAAGCGGAAAAGCUGGAGGGUAAAAAUCGAUAAGGGAGAAGGGUCUGUGGGAAGACGUAUGGAUAGAGCUGGGCAGGGGCAGGGCAAUCAGUUAUUGUGCUAAUUGAUGGCAGGAUGAGAACUCAGAAUUGAUCAGAGGCUGCCUGAGCUGAUACAACUCAGUGGCUCCAGAAUCCUGCUCUGGAGAUCUCUCAGAGGGAUGCUCGGAUCAGCUGCACCGUUCCCAACCCACUCAGCUGCAGGGGUUUAUUGACAGGGAAAAGCAAAAUGAGCCUGGCUCUGGGUUAGAUCCCCCAAAAAGCAGGACUCUGCUGAUCAGGGCUCCUGCUAUUCCAGCAGAUUUCCACUGCUAUGUGGAUCCAGGGGCUGUUGGUGUAUCCAUGAAUCACCCACCCUCUCCUCCACUGAGGGCUUAGAGCAACCUCUGCCUCCCUCCAGAGCACCACAGGGCAUCAAGGAUAAAUAAUUCACCCUCCUGACACCACUCUUGUGGGCUGGAGUCUGUCCAGAGGAGAGAGGAGACUGAGGCACAGGCACAGUGAAGAGCUGGUUGCUGCUGAACCUCACUGCGAGAGGAGAUCAGAGAUCAGGAGAUCAGCUGUGCACCAAGGCUGUUCCCAGUUUUUGCAGAGUGUUCCCAGCACUGCUGCUGUGGGAUGAAACAGGAAUCCUCGUGCCCCAGG